UAGGUUUUGGGUUAGGAUUUACGGUUUGGGUUUAGUAUUUACCGUUUGGAUUUAUAGUUAAAGUUUUGGGUUUAGGGUAUAUAAUUUGGGUUUAAGGUUUACGGUUUGGGUUUAAGGUCUAGAACUUGAGUUUAGGGUAUAGAAUUUAGGUUUAUAGUCUAGUUUUUGGGUUUAGGGUAUAUAAUUUGGGUUUAGGGUCUAUGAUUAGGGUUUAUGGUAUAGGGUUUGGGUUUAGGGGUUUGGAUUUGAGUUUAGAAUUUAGGGUAUAGGGUUUAGAAUUUAAGAUUUAGGGUUUAGGUGGAAGCUUUAGCGUCGUUAAAAUUAGCGUUUUUAUUUUUUGUAACUAUUUUUUAUUUAAUUUAGUGUUUUUUUAAUUAAUAUAUUAUGUGGAAAUUUGAUUGGUUUUAAAGGGUGAAGUGAAUUUAAAGGUUCACCCCCUAGGGUGAAUCUAAGUUCUGUCCAUAAAAAAUAGGACUCUGUUUUAAUAGAUUAGAUAUCAAGUUUGGUUUGGAUAUUUCGGAUAUCAAUUUGGAUAUAGG
rnacentral:lncRNA from 1 species